rnacentral:lncRNA from 10 species
AUUCAAAGCUCGCAAUGCACCGUUCUGAAAACUCUCCAGCGUAGAAUUCAGGAACCCUGAGUUUUCUAUCUCUGUCUAGUUCUGGACUGAAUGGGCUCAAGUCAUCUAGUUAACCUCUCUGGAUUUCAGUCUUCUGAAAAGUGAAGCUAAGAGAUCUAGCAUUCUGCAGAAAAGUACUGGAGAUGACUCAGGACUGAAAAUGAUCAUGAAGCCCCUUUGCAAAUAUCAAAGUGGUGAUGAAGCAGUCAUGAACUUUGACCAGAAGCCGUGUUUUGUGGGAUUGCCACUUUAAUCGCUCCUGUUCAUCAUUAGGACUGCAGCCAGAGUGUGGAAGGAGGUCACCAGGAACUGAAAAGGAGAAAGAGACCAUGAGAACUCUAUCUGAACAACAGA